rnacentral:rRNA from 1 species
UAGCGUUGUCCGGAUUUAUUGGGCGUAAAGAGCUCGUAGGCGGUUUGGUGAGUCUGGUGUGAAAUCUCCACGCUCAACGUGGAGGAGCCACCCGAUACUGCCAUGACUAGAGUCCGGUAGGGGAGUGUGGAAUUCCCGGUGUAGCGGUGAAAUGCGCAGAUAUCCUGAGGAACACCGGUGGCGAAAGCGGCGCGCUGGAUCCCUUCUGACGCUGAGGCGCGAAAGCCAGGGGAGCAAACGGG